GUGCGCUAAAUCAGAGAAGGCCAAUUCCUACUUAAGAAAAUCACUGAGGUACCCGAGGUAAUUAAUGCCUUCGGAAGCCUUUCUUUGCACUAAUUACUCCGUUGUAAAUGACCAUCAUUAAGGCAAUUGAAGAAAGCUUGAAGGGAAAAUUUGAUGUAGGAAGUGCAGUUAGUAUUAAUUAACCGUAUGAUCUCUUGGCAAGUGCAAGAACAUCAAAGGUUGUAGGUGUUUACUUAGCCACAAGAUUUUAUCAGCGUUGAAAGUCAAUGUUUGUCCAUAUUCGGUCUGGUUCCAGAACAGGAGAGCGAAGUGCCGAAAGCAGGAAAACCAGAUGCACAAAGGUGUGAUCCUGGGAACCGCCAGCCAUUUAGACGCCUGCAGAGUAGCCCCCUACGUGAAUAUGGGAGCCCUGAGGAUGCCUUUCCAACAGGUAGUUAGCUCCGGUUUUAUUUUACUUUCCCUCAGUAAGCUCCGACCCCCAUUCAUUUGCACUGGAGGAAGCCGGACACGUUUACAAGUGCCAUUUAUAUAGAAGUUGGCACGUAUUAAAAACAGGCUGUAAAACUUCGCGAAGGAGCCCCCGCCCGGCUUU